rnacentral:rRNA from 1 species
GAUGAACGCUGGCGGCGUGCCUAAUACAUGCAAGUCGAGCGAACGGACGAGAAGCUUGCUUCUCUGAUGUUAGCGGCGGACGGGUGAGUAACACGUGGAUAACCUACCUAUAAGACUGGGAUAACUUCGGGAAACCGGAGCUAAUACCGGAUAAUAUUUUGAACCGCAUGGUUCAAAAGUGAAAGACGGUCUUGCUGUCACUUAUAGAUGGAUCCGCGCUGCAUUAGCUAGUUGGUAAGGUAACGGCUUACCAAGGCAACGAUGCAUAGCCGACCUGAGAGGGUGAUCGGCCACACUGGAACUGAGACACGGUCCAGACUCCUACGGGAGGCAGCAGUAGGGAAUCUUCCGCAAUGGGCGAAGGCCUGACGGAGCAACGCCGCGUGAGUGAUGAAGGUCUUCGGAUCGUAAAACUCUGUUAGUAGGGAAGAACAUAUGUGUAAGUAACUGUGCACAUCUUGACGGUACCUAAUCAGAAAGCCACGGCUAACUACGUG